rnacentral:rRNA from 1 species
AACGAACGCUGGCGGCAGGCUUAACACAUGCAAGUCGAACGCCCCGCAAGGGGCGUGGCAGACCGGUGCGUAACGCGUGGGAAUCUACCCAUCCCUACGGAAUAACGCAUGGAAACGUGUUCUAAUACCGUAUACGCCCUACGGGGGAAAGAUUUAUCGGGGAUGGAUGAGCCCGCGUUGGAUUAGCUAGUUGGUGGGGUAAAGGCCUACCAAGGCGACGAUCCAUAGUUGGUCUGAGAGGAUGAUCAGCCACAUUGGGACUUAGACACGGCCCAAACUCCUACGGGAGGCAGCAGUGGGGAAUAUUGGACAAUGGGCGCAAGGCUGAACCAGCCAUGCCGCGUGAGUGAUGAAGGCCUUAGGGUUGUAAAGCUCAUUCACCGGAGAAGAUAAUGACGGUAUCCGGAGAAGAAGCCCCGGCUAACUUCGUG